GCUGGCCCUGACCCACUUCCUGUGACAGGCGAGCUUUUGGCCCGGGUUAUACCUGAUGUUCACGUAUAAGACGAGCAAAAAGCUUGUUGGUCAGAGGAGCUACGUCGCAUCGGCCUG
rnacentral:pre_miRNA from 15 species